GAUGAACGCUGGCGGCGUGCCUAAUACAUGCAAGUCGAACGCUGAAGCUUGGUGCUUGCACCGAGCGGAUGAGUUGCGAACGGGUGAGUAACGCGUAGGUAACCUGCCUCUUAGCGGGGGAUAACUAUUGGAAACGAUAGCUAAUACCGCAUAAAAGACGAUAUCGCAUGAUAUUGAAUUGAAAGGUGCAAUUGCUUCACUAAGAGAUGGACCUGCGUCGUAUUAGCUAGGUGGUGAGGUAAAGGCCCAACAAGGCGAAGAAACAUAGCCGGCCCGGGAGGGGUGACGGCCACACUGGGACUGAGACAACGCCCAGGCCUCCACGGGGAGGCGCCGUAGGGGAACUUCGGCAAGGGGGGCAACCCUGACCGGGGAACGCCGGGGGGGGGAAGGAAGGUCUCGGGUCGGAAAGCUCCGUUGUAAGGGAAGAACGAGUGUGGGAGUUAAAAGUUCACACUGUGACGGUAACUGAUCAGAAAGCGACGGCUAACUACGUG
rnacentral:rRNA from 1 species